CUCGAUCACCGGGGGUGCCCGCCAGGCAUGUUGGCCAGGCGGACUGAGAAAUACCCCAGAACCUGAUCUGGGUCAUGCCAGCGGAGGAAGUGUGAUGUGCGGCCAUG
rnacentral:ncRNA from 1 species